AGUGAACGCUGGCGGUAGGCCUAACACAUGCAAGUCGAACGGCAGCACAGUAAGAGCUUGCUCUUACGGGUGGCGAGUGGCGGACGGGUGAGGAAUACAUCGGAAUCUACUUUUUCGUGGGGGAUAACGUAGGGAAACUUACGCUAAUACCGCAUACGACCUACGGGUGAAAGCAGGGGAUCUUCGGACCUUGCGCGAUUGAAUGAGCCGAUGUCGGAUUAGCUAGUUGGCGGGGUAAAGGCCCACCAAGGCGACGAUCCGUAGCUGGUCUGAGAGGAUGAUCAGCCACACUGGAACUGAGACACGGUCCAGACUCCUACGGGAGGCAGCAGUGGGGAAUAUUGAACAAUGGGCGCAAGCCUGAUCCAGCCAUACUGCGUGGGUGAAGAAGGCCUUCGGGUUGUAAAGCCCUUUUGUUGGGAAAGAAAAGCAGCAGGUUAAUACCCCGCUGUUCUGACGGUACCCAAAGAAUAAGCACCGGCUAACUUCGUG
rnacentral:rRNA from 1 species